rnacentral:rRNA from 1 species
UACGUAGGGGGCAAGCGUUGUCCGGAUUAUUGGGCGUAAAGAGCGUGUAGGCGGCCAGACAGGUCCGUUGUGAAAACUCGAGGCUCAACCUCGAGAUGUCGAUGGAAACCGUCUGGCUAGAGUCCGGAAGAGGAGUGUGGAAUUCCUGGUGUAGCGGUGAAAUUCGUAGAUAUUGGGAAGAACACCGGUGGCGAAGGCGGCGAGCUGGUCCAUUACUGACGCUGAGGCGCGACAGCGUGGGGAGCAAACAGGAUUAGAGUACCCGU